AGAGCUUCCAGGCUGGUAAACACAUCCACAUGCUGGGAGGGUGGCACACCCCAACUCCGUCAGGACAGAAGCACUUACACACAGGACCCUUCUGGGCCUCGCCCUUAUACACCCCUUCAUCUGCCUGUUCAUCUCUCAAAGUAGAUCAGAAGAGCUAGAAGGGCAUCAGAGGAGGAGGCUCACCAAUUGGAAGAGACAGUCUGGCAGCCGAUAUGCUGACAACCAGGAAAGAGAAAAGAAAGCAGACACCAAAAAAAGCACAGGAAUCUGAUGAGAAAACAGGUUAGAGAGGAUAAAUACAUGCUCUAAAUCAUAAGGACAGAACACCGUACAGCUGGGAUUCAAACUCAGGAGUGUGAUUACAAAUCCCGUGCUCUUUCUACUGCACAGCAAGCUGACUCCCCAACACUAAUAAGCCCUGGAAAUGAAGUAUUAACUGCAAAAGCCGCACUGUGUGGGAAAAUGUGACCUCUUGGCAACAGAACUCAGCGUGACAUGACCAAAGUCGUAAACUUAAAAUCCACAAUUAUAUUUCCCACUUUUUUUUUACUGGCCCUUUCUUUCCUGUGGGUUCAAAAGAAUGAAUGCUUAUUUGUGAUAGUUAAUCCAGGAAUUCAACAAUAUUUACUAAGCAUUCACCUUGUACAA